UACGGGGGGGGCAAGCGUUGUUCGGAAUUACUGGGCGUAAAGGGCUCGUAGGUGGCCAACUAAGUCAGACGUGAAAUCCCUCGGCUUAACCGGGGAACUGCGUCUGAUACUGGAUGGCUUGAGAUUGGGAGAGGGAUGCGGAAUUCCUGGUGUAGCGGUGAAAUGCGCAGAUAUCAGGAAGAACACCCGUGGCGAAGGCGGUUCUCUGGGACGGUACUGACGCUGAGACGCGGAAAGCGUGGGGAGCGAACAGG
rnacentral:rRNA from 1 species